GGCCUUAUGAGAAUUUUAUGUUUUCUUAUUUUCUUUUAUAAAACAAACAAAUCUAACAUUUUAAAAUAACUAACAACUGGAUGCAAACCUCUUUGAAUGUGAAUGUGUAAAGUCAAAAAGUAAGCUGAAUCAGUCCAGAUAAUUGUUUAUGACACAAAGACAAAAUUAAGGAAAACAAUAUUUACCACAACAAUAAAAAGUCAAAUCUACUUACUAUAUAUAAAAAGUUGAGCAAACAUUUAAGAAAAUGUAUACCAUUUCAAUCAUGAAAAUCAUGUCAUGCUAGUAUAAACUUAUAAUCUCUAACAAGACUAAUAAAAAAAUAAAAAAUAAAAAAUAAAUUUUUUUAGUUAGACAUAUGCGAAGAUGAUAUUAAAAUGUGUUUUCAUUAUAAAGACAUAACAAAUAUAAAAAUAAUAACUAAGAUAGUAUAAUGUCAUAAAAUAUAUUUGACAACAAAUAAAAAAAAACAAGUUAGAAAAAUAAACGAACGUCAAACUUUAAGUAAAAUGAAUAUAAUAUCCAUCAUCACUUAAAUUUUUUUAAAAAACAAAAAUCAUUAUUAUACACAUCUCUUGCAAAUGAAAAUCUAAAUACAAACCAUAAAAUCAUACAAAAAAAAAUAAAACAUAGAUAACAAUUAAAGUAUAUCCUGUAUGUAAGGCGUACCUACCCUAGUCUACUAAUAAUAGCAAUCACAAUUAAUUCAAAAGGUUGUGUUUUUUCAGCAAUUAAAAGUUGUGGCUUUUUAUUUAAAAAUAACUAUUUAUAUUGAAAGAAUGUGACUAUUUAUAUUGAAAAGUUGUGACUCUCCAUAUAAGUAUUAUUAUAAAAAGACACAACAUUUUAAUUCAAAAGAUGUGACUUUUCAAACAAAUUUUUGAAAAUCUAUAAAUAGUCCAAUGUCCAUGCCUUCUCAAAUGCAUUAUUUUCACUAAUCAAAUAAAAUGGUGAAGAAAAAAAAACAAUUAAUAAUAGCAAACCCAAACAAUGUUUCAUUAUAUAUUAA
rnacentral:lncRNA from 1 species